rnacentral:rRNA from 1 species
GACGAACGCUGGCGGCGUGCCUAAUACAUGCAAGUUGAGCGAUGAAGCUUGGUGCUUGCACCAAUUUGAAGAGCAGCGAACGGGUGAGUAACGCGUGGGGAAUCUGCCUUUGAGCGGGGGACAACAUUUGGAAACGAAUGCUAAUACCGCAUAACAACUUUAAACAUAAGUUUUAAGUUUGAAAGAUGCAAUUGCAUCACUCAAAGAUGAUCCCGCGUUGUAUUAGCUAGUUGGUGAGGUAAAGGCUCACCAAGGCGAUGAUACAUAGCCGACCUGAGAGGGGGAUCGGCCCCAUUGGAACUGGAAACGGGCCAAAACGCCUACGGGAGGGACCAGAAGGGAAUCUUGGGCAAGGGGCGAAAAUCGGACCGAACAAGCGCGCGUGAGAGAAAAAGGUGUUGGGAUCGGAAAACCGUUUUGGGAGGGAAAAACGUGGGUGGGAGGGGAAAACUCAUCAGGGAAGGGAAACGACCAAGAAGGGGAGGGCAAAUACCGU